GCGCAGGCGUAGGCCCUGGCGCGUUCCCGGAAGAGCUCAAAGCAGAAAACGUAACAGCCCAGCUUUGAUUAAAGAUGACUUCCUUGUUUACUCAAGAAGUUCACCUUUCUAAAAGACAUGAAGAAAUAGUGUCCCAAAGAUUAAUGUUACUUCAGAAAAUGAAAAAUAAAUUCGGAGAUCAAAGCACAGAAAGGGCAUCUCUCCAAGCCACGGAGACUGCUUGUAGAAGGAACCUCCAGCUCUUGCAGAUUUGGGAUUAUAUUCUAUACUUAAGUACAUUGUAACUAACAACUGCUGCACUUCAAGCCAUGAAACCUCAGUUUGGAACUGAAUGUGACAGCUCACACCUGUAAUCUUGGGAGGUGAAGCAGGACUGCUGUGAAUUUGAGUGAAGCCUGAGCCACAGAUUGAAACCUUGUUUGGAAAACAAACCCAAGUGCUUGGUCCUCCAAGAGCUCCUCAACACCACAUACCUGUAGGGUUUAUGCUCCAAGACUUCCCAGAAGACACCUGGAACCAUGGAUCACACCACAUCCUCUGUACAAUGUUCACUCGUAUUUGCAUUCUUGUAAUGAGACUUAACUUAUGAAUAAGACACAGAAAGGAAUCAGCAACAAUAAAGUAUGAUGGCUAUAUUUUAGU
rnacentral:lncRNA from 1 species